rnacentral:rRNA from 1 species
UACGAACUGUGCAAACGUUAUUCGGAAUCACUGGGCGUAAAGAGCUUGUAGGCGGUUUGUCGCGUCUGCUGUGAAAUUUCGGGGCUCAACCCCGAACUUGCAGUGGGUACGGGCAGACUAGAGUGUGGUAGGGGAGACUGGAAUUCCUGGUGUAGCGGUGAAAUGCGCAGAUAUCAGGAGGAACACCGAUGGCGAAGGCAGGUCUCUGGGCCACUACUGACGCUGAGGCGCGAAAGCGUGGGGAGCAAACAGG